CACGGUGCCUAUACCACGUGACUUUUUAAGAUCUGUGUGGGGACUAAAAUGUCAACAAAAGCGCGACGAAGGUAUGGCCCAAUGCUCCGAAUGCGGAAAAAUGUUGAAGACCAGAGCUGGAUUAUUGCGCCACAUUAGGAGAUACGCUAACUCUGGAAACUAUUACUGCUGUGGGAAAGCAUUUCAGAAGGCUUCAAAGAACGAAGGACCCCACGAUGUGUGUACAGUGCGGCAGGAGCUUUUCGGACAAGUACCUACCUACCCGUGGCUCGAGAGAAAAGUGCAAAAAAGAGGGAUAGUCGAACUGUUACCAGUGUGGGUUGGCAGUUAGGAGUGAGAUUGACCUCAAAGAGCACGACAAGCCCCACAUGCCUGACAAGUAUUACAUAUAUGAGGAGUGUUUCAAACGUACAGUCGCAAAAAAAACCUCUCUCGACACGUGAGCACUUCACAUAAAUCCGUGA